rnacentral:tmRNA from 1 species
GGGGAUGUUUUGGUUUUGACAGCAGACGACAUUGGAAAGUAAGCACGUGGAGCGCUGUGUUCCGGCUCCUUAAUCCCGGGGCUCAAGCCUUAAUCGGCAACAACAAUUACGCACUCGCUGCCUGAUAGUCAAAAUGACUGUCGCUUAAUCUUCCCGGACAAGGUCCGGAAAGACGAGUAUCCCACCGGUUUUUUUAGCGUUUUGGAUUCCGGUAUAAGGGGUAUCAUCUACAAAAAGCUGGUUGUGAAAAAUCUCCGGUUUCACAAUAAGAUUUUAGGAGAUAAGAAGCACGUGGCGCUCCUGUACGCAGCUUGCUUCCGACAAUCAACUACAGGAUAAACGUGUAGAAAGCUUUUGGAUGCGCUGUUUGGACGGCGGUUCGAAUCCGCCCAUCUCCACAU